AGCUGGAUCAUUUUUCCGAAAAAUGAAUUCAAAAAAACCCUUUCCUCGUUUCUCCACACAUUAUCCCCAUCCCCUUCGCGGGUGGGUGGGUGCGUGUGUGUGGGAAACACACAACACAAAACAAAGUGCAGCGUUUCUCUCGUCACACAGAGAAAUCCUGCCCUGCCUUCCAAAACACAAUGCACGGCGCCUUUACAACGGCGCGGUGGGGCAGAACCUAAAACGUGUCGCGAUGGAUGACUUGGCUUCCCAUAUCUGUGAAGAACGCAGCAAAGUGCGAUAAGUGGUAUGAAUUGCAGAAUCUCUCCAUUACUUAAUCUUUGAACGCAAAAGGCGCUCGGGAGAAGUCCCUCGUGGGCCAUCCCCGUGCAUGCCGUAUUGCUCAGUGUCGAAAACAAAAAAUCCUAAAAGCAUCACAAGUGCUUUCUUAUGGGUUUCUCGAAGUUGUGGCCAACGCCUUUUCGUGUUUGGAACGCAAUUCGGGGAUUGGGUGUUCCUUUUGUUGGAAACGACAAGAACAAAGCAUCCAAUCAUUCUUCAAAAAAGGAAAAAACCGGUACAACCAACGGGAAAAGAAGAAGGCACAUCCGUGUGUCUCUCUUCUCUUCUUUCUUUUUAUUACUGACCUGAGUGCGGCAGGACGACCCGCUAAACUUAAGCAUAUUGCUCAGCGGAGGAAAAGAAAACAACCGUGAUUCCCUUAGUGAGCGGCGAGCGAACAGGGAUCCAACUCGAUGCCGAAUCGGGCUUUACAGAGCCUUGAGUUGUGGCACGACUACCCCGUGACUGGUCAAGGGAGUGGCAAAAUUCAAUGUGCAAAGCAAACCCAUUGUUGAAUGCAACCCUUCAUGUGAGUAUUGAGCCAUAGGAGGUGAAAGCCCAUUCCAGCCACUGCAUACCCUAAACCUCAUUGGGUGGUUAUAAGCGAGUAGCACUGCUUGGGAAUGCAGUGUCAAGCGGCAGGUAUGUGUCUGCCAAAGUUAAAUACAAAAUGGGAAGACCGAUAGCAAACAAGUAGCGUGAGCGAAAGUUUGAAAAGCACUUUGGAAAGAGAGUGACAUAGAACCUGAAGUCGUGACAAUGACAAUGAAAGUGCUCCAUUUUUGUCAAGGCCAGCCCUGCAGCAUUAUCCGGUCCUCCGCCUUCGGGCGCCAGUGCCGGCCAAACAAGUGUUGAAAGGGGACUGGAGCAACGAGCCGAGGUAAAGGGAGGAGUUUUGCCUAGCAAUGCACCCUUUCCUUCUCGGUAGACUCAGCGACUUGACGCUCUGGAAAUGGGGUACCUUCACCCGUCUUGAAACACGGACCAAGGAGUCAAACAGACACGCAAGGGGGAAGAUAUUGUUGCCAGUACUUCUCUCGAACUGAAAGGGAUGCUUUUUGCAUUGGUGUGCACACGAAAAUUCGUUGUUCUUGCCCAACACCGACCGCCCUUCUUUUAGGGUGAGUCUGAGUGUGCCUGUUUGGACCCGAAAGGUGGUGAACUAUGCCUGAACAAGGUGAAGUCCGGGGAAACUCGGAUGGAGGCCUGUAGCGGUGCUGACGUGCAAAUCGCUCGCACGAUUUGGGUAUCGGAGCGAAAGACUCAUCGAACCACCUAGUAGCUGGUUCACAU
rnacentral:misc_RNA from 1 species